rnacentral:rRNA from 1 species
GACGAACGCUGGCGGCGUGCUUAACACAUGCAAGUCGAGCGGAAAGGCCCUUCGGGGUACUCGAGCGGCGAACGGGUGAGUAACACGUGAGUAACCUGCCCCAGACUUUGGGAUAACCCUCGGAAACGGGGGCUAAUACCGGAUACGACACAGCUUCGCAUGGGGUCUGUGUGGAAAGUUUUUCGGUUUGGGAUGGGCUCGCGGCCUAUCAGCUUGUUGGUGGGGUGAUGGCCUACAAAGGCGACGCCGGGUAGCCGGCCUGAGAGGGCGACCGGCCACACGGGGACUGAGACACGGCCCAGACUCCUACGGGAGGCAGCAGUGGGGAAUAUUGCACAAUGGGCGGAAGCCUGAUGCAGCGACGCCGCGUGAGGGAUGACGGUCUUCGGGUUGUAAACCUCUUUCGGCAGGGACGAAGCGUAAGUGACGGUACCUGCAGAAGAAGCGCCGGCCAACUACGUG